GUGGUCUGUUGAUUAAAAAGUGUAUUUACCGGUAUUACAUAGAUAUUAUAAACGUCACCUUUCCUGCGGUGCCUGUUUAGUAUCGUCAGAAAUCUGCUUUCUAGCUUAAUCAAGCUUCAGCAUUUUACAGAAAGUUGAUUUGUGUUCAGAAAUAUCUAAAGUGGGCAUCCGUUGUGGAUACUUUAUUUGAAGACAUGAACAUUUUGGCAAAAGAACUAUUUCCUAACAGAAGGAAAGCUGUGUUCGUUGUCAGUUUCGUCGUAAUCUUCCAAGCAUUAACGGUCCUAACAGAAGGUAUGUAUGCAUACUAUUCACAACUGUAGCGACAAAAAAAAAAAAAAAAAAAAACCCUCCGCAAAAACACUCCCCUCCCACAAAAACA